rnacentral:rRNA from 1 species
CCACAUGACUCUCGGCAACGGAUAUCUCGGCUCUCGCAUCGAUGAAGAACGUAGCGAAAUGCGAUACCUGGUGUGAAUUGCAGAAUCCCGCGAACCAUCGAGUCUUUGAACGCAAGUUGCGCCUGAGGCCAUCCGGCUGAGGGCACGCCUGCCUGGGCGUCACGC